rnacentral:rRNA from 1 species
CGCGUAGGUGGUUCAGUCAGUCAGAUGUGAAAGCCCCGGGCUCAACCUGGGAAUUGCACCUGAUACUGCUGAGCUAGAGUACGGUAAAGGGUAGUGGAAUUUCCGGUGUAGCGGUGAAAUGCGUAGAGAUCGGAAGGAACACCAGUGGCGAAGGCGACUACCUGGACCGAUACUGACACUGAGGUGCGAAAGCGUGGGUAGCAAACA